GAUGAACGCUGGCGGCGUGCUUAACACAUGCAAGUCGAACGAGAAGUGAAGACGGAAACCUUCGGGCGGAAGGCUUUAUUUCGAGUGGCGGACGGGUGAGUAACGCGUGGGUAACCUGCCUCAUACAGGGGGAUAACAGUUGGAAACGACUGUUAAUACCGCAUAAGACCACAGCACCGCAUGGUGCGGGGGUAAAAACUCCGGUGGUAUGAGAUGGACCCGCGUUCGAUUAGCCAGUUGGCGGGGUAACGGCCCACCAAAGCGACGAUCGAUAGCCGAUCUGAGAGGAUGACCGGCCACAUUGGGACUGAGACACGGCCCAAACUCCUACGGGAGGCAGCAAUGGGGAAUAUUGCACAAUGGGGGAAACCCUGAUGCAGCGACGCCGCGUGAGUGAAGAAGUAUUUCGGUAUGUAAAGCUCUAUCAGCAGGGAAGAAAAUGACGGUACCUGAGUAAGAAGCCCCGGCUAACUACGUG
rnacentral:rRNA from 1 species